GACGAACGCUGGCGGCGUGCUUAACACAUGCAAGUCGAACGGUAAGGCCCUUCGGGGUACACGAGUGGCGAACGGGUGAGUAACACGUGGGUGAUCUGCCCUGCACUUCGGGAUAAGCCUGGGAAACUGGGUCUAAUACCGGAUAGGACCACUGCCUGCAUGGGUGGUGGUGGAAAGCUUUUGCGGUGUGGGAUGGGCCCGCGGCCUAUCGGCUUGUUGGUGGGGUGAUGGCCUACCAAGCCGACGACGGGUAGCCGGCCUGAGAGGGUGACCGGCCACACUGGGACUGAGAUACGGCCCAGACUCCUACGGGAGGCAGCAGUGGGGAAUAUUGCACAAUGGGCGCAAGCCUGAUGCAGCGACGCCGCGUGAGGGAUGGCGGCCUUCGGGUUGUAAACCUCUUUCAGCGCCGACGAAGCGCAAGUGACGGUAGGUGCAGAAGAAGGACCGGCCAACUACGUGCCAGCAGCCGCCGUAA
rnacentral:rRNA from 1 species